GGACCCGCACAAGCAGUGGAGUAUGUGGUUUAAUUCGACGCAACGCGAAGAACCUUACCAAGGCUUGACAUCCUCUGACCGCUGUAGAAAUACAGUUUCCCUUCGGGGCAGAGUGACAGGUGGUGCAUGGUUGUCGUCAGCUCGUGUCGUGAGAUGUUGGGUUAAGUCCCGCAACGAGCGCAACCCCUAUGGUUUGUUGCCAUCAUUUAGUUGGGCACUCAAACAAGACUGCCGUUGACAAAACGGAGGAAGGUGGGGACGACGUCAAAUCAUCAUGCCCCUUAUGUCUUGGGCUACGCACGUACUACAAUGGCUGUGACAGAGGGCAGCGACACCGCGAGGUGAAGCGAAUCCCAAAACGCAGUCCCAGUUCGGAUUGCAGGCUGAAACUCGCCUGCAUGAAGCAGGAAUUGCUAGUAAUGGCAGGUCAGCAUACUGCCGUGAAUACGUUCCCGGGUCUU
rnacentral:rRNA from 1 species